rnacentral:lncRNA from 1 species
GGGGAGAGGAGGGGAGCUCUAGUCUAUUGGCGCAAAGAGUGUCCUUACCAAGGCUUAUUCAAUGCACUUGUAAGCAACGAAGACCGUAUCAAUUAUCACAUCAUAUAAUGUCAUUAUUCGGAUCACACUUUCCAACACACUUUGAGAGUUUGCAUGAUAUCUAUAGUUAGUGUUAUGUGCUUCAAGUAAGUAAAAGAGCUCCGAGAGAAAUGUACUAACCCCCCCGUCAUUGUUCACAGGGCCCUGUGGGUCCAUACGGGCUCCUGGGAGGGAAAGGUUCUGCUGGAGUCAUGGGCCUGGAUGGUCCACCCGGAAAACCUGGGUUCCCUGGACAGAUGGGGAAGAUCGGCGAGCGAGGAGAAUCUGGACCGAAGGGAUUUCCAGGUAUCCAGGGACCAUCAGGACCUCCUGGUGCCAAGGGCUUUGCAGGAGAGCCAGGGCCGGCGGGGCCCGCUGGAUCGACGGGGCCUCUCGGAGACAUGGGACCAAAGGGACCGCUGGGGAGGGCAGGGGCGAGCGGGCUGCCUGGUGAUCCUGGAGAGAAGGUCUGUAUCGCUCUGUACUCCCUUUAUUCACAUGAAGUCAUUUAGUCAGAGGCAGCAGCCAAACACUCUCACAAGCUCGGCUGAAAACAAUCAAAGCGUAAAGUAA